UACCUGUGAUGAAAAGAUUCUGCCAAAUGAUUUCUCUGAUUAUACUCCUUACCGUUCCAUAUAUUUCUGAGGCU